UAUGUCAUAGAUUGUAAGUAGUCAGAGCUCAUUAGAGGUUUAAAAGAAAUAACGUGUAAAGUUUUGAGAAGAAUGUCUGACCAGAGUUCUCAAUAAAUGUUAGCUGUGGAAUCUCAUUAAUUCCUUUGGUCAUCUGUAUUCCAGCAAGCUCACUGUGAUGAUGGUUUUCCAACAUUCGCAGUUUCCACCAGAAGGGUUUUCCUUAGUGUUGGGUAAACCUUCCUUGGAUGUCUGAGUGAGCUUUAUGUGCAUUCUCAUGUUGGUUUCUGUGAUGUAUAAAAGUAUACCCCCAUCUUACAGAUAGGAAACUGUGCCCUGAUUUCUGAGCCUCGACAUCAUCACAUUCUCCAGUUUGUGUUUCGUGUUGAAAGUUAAAACGUGAUUCCCUUUUCAGGUGUAAUCCUGAGAGAUUCACAUGGUGUUGCACAAGUACGUUUUGUGACAGGCAAUAAAAUUUUAAGAAUUCUUAAGUCUAAGGGACUUGCUCCUGAUCUUCCUGAAGAUCUGUACCAUUUAAUUAAGAAGGCAGUUGCUGUUCGAAAGCAUCUUGAGAGGAACAGAAAGGAUAAGGAUGCUAAAUUCCGUCUGAUUCUGAUAGAGAGCCGGAUUCACCGUUUGGCUCGAUAUUAUAAGACCAAGCGAGUCCUCCCUCCCAAUUGGAAAUAUGAAUCAUCUACAGCCUCUGCCCUGGUCGCAUAAAUUUGUCUGUGUACUCAAGCAAUAAAGUGAUUGUUUAACUAAAA
rnacentral:sRNA from 1 species